GAAUACACCAGCCCUGCUGAAACAGGACGUGGUCUGCCCACAGGAGCAGUGGGGAAGAAAAGAGAGGGGACCUCGUGGGGUACAUUAAGUCUUCCCACAGGGACUGAAAACUCAGAGAAGACGAAAAGAAAAUAAAUUCCCAGCAGAAAGCAUAAAUGGAAAACCAGUCCUGGUUCUAAUGGCAUCAGGACCUGAGAGGGAAAGAGGCUCCGAUUCCACAAACCAGGGCAGAGUCUGGAUGAGGUGUGCAGCCCGAGACAUAAUGCUGGAGCUUCGGCAGCCAUCAGGGAUCACAAGACAAUUGAAGAGGAAAGCCAGGUGCUGAAUGAAGAUGGCAGAAGAAUAGGCCACUGAUGGGAGGCAUCAGUCCUGGACUACCUACCUUCAGAUUUUUUGUAUG